rnacentral:rRNA from 1 species
UACGUAGGCAGCGAGCGCUGUUCGGAGUUACUGGGCGUAAAGGGUGUGUAGGCGGUUGUUUAAGUUUGGUGUGAAAUCUCCCGGCUCAACUGGGAGGGUGCGCCGAAUACUGAAUGACUAGAGUGCGGGAGAGGAAAGUGGAAUUCCUGGUGUAGCGGUGAAAUGCGUAGAUAUCAGGAGGAACACCGGUGGUGUAGACGGCUUUCUGGACCGUAACUGACGCUGAGACACGAAAGCGUGGGUAGCAAACAGG